rnacentral:rRNA from 1 species
GAUGAACGCUGGCGGCGUGCCUAAUACAUGCAAGUCGAGCGAACGGACGAGAAGCUUGCUUCUCUGAUGUUAGCGGCGGACGGGUGAGUAACACGUGGAUAACCUACCUAUAAGACUGGGAUAACUUCGGGAAACCGUAGCUAAUACCGGAUAAUAUUUUGAACCGCAUGGUUCAAAAGUGAAAGACGGUCUUGCUGUCACUUAUAGAUGGAUCCGCGCUGCAUUAGCUAGUUGGUAAGGUAACGGCUUACCAAGGCAACGAUGCAUAGCCGACCUGAGAGGGUGAUCGGCCACACUGGAACUGAGACACGGUCCAGACUCCUACGGGAGGCAGCAGUAGGGAAUCUUCCGCAAUGGGCGAAAGCCUGACGGAGCAACGCCGCGUGAGUGAUGAAGGUCUUCGGAUCGUAAAACUCUGUUAUUAGGGAAGAACAUAUGUGUAAGUAACUGUGCACAUCUUGACGGUACCUAAUCAGAAAGCCACGGCUAACUACGUGCCAGCAGCCGCGGUAAUACGUAGGUGGCAAGCGUUAUCCGGAAUUAUUGGGCGUAAAGCGCGCGUAGGCGGUUUUUUAAGUCUGAUGUGAAAGCCCACGGCUCAACUGUGGAGGGUCAUUGGAAACUGGAAAACUUGAGUGCAGAAGAGGAAAGUGGAAUUCCAUGUGUAGCGGUGAAAUGCGCAGAGAUAUGGAGGAACACCAGUGGCGAAGGCGACUUUCUGGUCUGUAACUGACGCUGAUGUGCGAAAGCGUGGGGAUCAAACAGGAUUAGAUACCCUGGUAGUCCACGCCGUAAACGAUGAGUGCUAAGUGUUAGGGGGUUUCCGCCCCUUAGUGCUGCAGCUAACGCAUUAAGCACUCCGCCUGGGGAGUACGACCGCAAGGUUGAAACUCAAAGGAAUUGACGGGGACCCGCACAAGCGGUGGAGCAUGUGGUUUAAUUCGAAGCAACGCGAAGAACCUUACCAAAUCUUGACAUCCUUUGACAACUCUAGAGAUAGAGCCUUCCCCUUCGGGGGACAAAGUGACAGGUGGUGCAUGGUUGUCGUCAGCUCGUGUCGUGAGAUGUUGGGUUAAGUCCCGCAACGAGCGCAACCCUUAAGCUUAGUUGCCAUCAUUAAGUUGGGCACUCUAAGUUGACUGCCGGUGACAAACCGGAGGAAGGUGGGGAUGACGUCAAAUCAUCAUGCCCCUUAUGAUUUGGGCUACACACGUGCUACAAUGGACAAUACAAAGGGCAGCGAAACCGCGAGGUCAAGCAAAUCCCAUAAAGUUGUUCUCAGUUCGGAUUGUAGUCUGCAACUCGACUACAUGAAGCUGGAAUCGCUAGUAAUCGUAGAUCAGCAUGCUACGGUGAAUACGUUCCCGGGUCU